rnacentral:rRNA from 1 species
UACAGAGGUCCCGAGCGUUGUUCGGAUUCACUGGGCGUAAAGGGUGCGUAGGCGGUCGGGUAAGUCUGAUGUGAAAUCUCACAGCUUAACUGUGAAACUGCAUUGGAUACUAUUCGUCUUGAGGUCUGGAGGGGGGACUGGAAUUCUCGGUGUAGCAGUGAAAUGCGUAGAUAUCAAGUGGAACACCAGUGGCGAAGGCGAGUCUCUGGACAUUUCCUGACGCUGAGGCACGAAAGCCAGGGGAGCAAACGGG